rnacentral:rRNA from 1 species
UACAGAGGGUGCAAGCGUUAAUCGGAAUUACUGGGCGUAAAGCGCACGUAGGUGGGUGCUUAAGUCGAAUGUGAAAUCUCUGGGCUUAACCUGGAAACUGCAUGCGAUACUGAGCACCUAGAGUUUGGUAGAGGGAAGUGGAAUUUCCGGAGUAGCGGUGAAAUGCGUAGAUAUCGGAAGGAACACCAGUGGCGAAGGCGACUUCCUGGGCCAAUACUGACACUGAGGUGCGAAAGCGUGGGGAGCAAAC